AUUGAACGCUGGCGGCAUGCCUUACACAUGCAAGUCGAACGGCAGCACGGGAGCAAUCCUGGUGGCGAGUGGCGAACGGGUGAGUAAUAUAUCGGAACGUGCCCAGUAGUGGGGGAUAGCCCGGCGAAAGCCGGAUUAAUACCGCAUACGACCUGUGGGUGAAAGCGGGGGAUCGCAAGACCUCGCGCUAUUGGAGCGGCCGAUAUCAGAUUAGCUAGUUGGUGGGGUAAAGGCCUACCAAGGCGACGAUCUGUAGCUGGUCUGAGAGGACGACCAGCCACACUGGGACUGAGACACGGCCCAGACUCCUACGGGAGGCAGCAGUGGGAAUUUUGGACAAUGGGCGCAAGCCUGAUCCAGCCAUGCCGCGUGUGGGAAGAA
rnacentral:rRNA from 1 species